UUUUGCAAAUGUACAAGAAGCUGAGAUCCCCAUAUGUUAUGCAGCAGCCCAGGGGUGAAAUUGAAGGUAGAUGUACUUUGCUGAAGUUCCUCUCAUGGGUACUGACAUCUUCAGACACUGGUGCUUCAUCUGCCAGGAGCCGUCGUUAAUGCUGUACUCACGUGAAUACAUGAAGAUUCAAGACCGAGGUCUGACAUGUAUGAGAAUUGCCUUAAAGGCUUACUCCAACCUUAAGGGGUAG